rnacentral:misc_RNA from 1 species
GCGGGGUUUAAGCCCUCUCUCCAAUUCCAAAUUAGGGUUUUUCAGUUUGUUGAGCAAAAGAAGAGAGAUGGCUAUACCAAGGGUGGUUAGGAAUGGAGAAGAGGAAGCAGAAGAUGCUUUUUUCGAGCAGGAAUUUGAGUUCGAGGACACCAAUUCCGUCCCCCCUCACCUCCUCAACCUCUUUGACGCCGCCGAGAAUGGAAACCUUGUCGCCCUCCGUCAUGCCCUAGAUAAUUUGACUGGCAGCAUUGAUCAACCUCUUGAAGAUGGGGACACUGCUCUUCAUCUAACUUGUUUAUAUGGCCAUCUGUCUUGCGUGCAGCUAUUGUUAGAGAGGGGAGCUUCUUUGGAGGCUAAGGAUGAAGAUGGAGCAAUUCCAUUGCAUGAUGCUUGUGCUGGAGGAUACACAGAAAUAGCCCGUCUGCUAAUCAACAAUGCACCUGACCCUGAAUGCGUGAAAAGGAUGCUGGACACCUUUGAUGAAGAAGGUGAUGCGCCUCUCCAUCAUGCCGCCAGAGGUGAACAUUUAGAUGUGAUCAGAUUAUUGAUAGCUUCAGGGGCUUCUGCUUGUAGGAACAAUUUAUUAGGAAGGACCCCAUCUGAGCUUGUUGAGCCUGAAAGUGAAGCUUGCAUAAUCUUAGACGAAGCUAUAAGUGCUGAAAUCGGCCGUCCCUAUAGGUCUACGUAAAGAAAAUUUGGACGCUCGGCUAUUGUCGAUAUGUUUCCCCUUGUUCUGUAGGUACUAGUGUUAUAUUAGAAACUCGGAUAUUAUGCUUGAAUGUUAAAAUACUCUUUAUAUAGUGAGAUUGCACAUUGCAGUAUGAGAAAUACUCAUCUUUUUU